AUUGAACGCUGGCGGCAGGCCUAACACAUGCAAGUCGAGCGGUAGAGAGGUGCUUGCAUCUCUUGAGAGCGGCGGACGGGUGAGUAAUGCCUAGGAAUCUGCCUAGUGGUGGGGGAUAACGUUCGGAAACGGACGCUAAUACCGCAUACGUCCUACGGGAGAAAGCGGGGGAUCUUCGGACCUCGCGCCAUUAGAUGAGCCUAGGUCGGAUUAGCUAGUUGGUGAGGUAAUGGCUCACCAAGGCGACGAUCCGUAACUGGUCUGAGAGGAUGAUCAGUCACACUGGAACUGAGACACGGUCCAGACUCCUACGGGAGGCAGCAGUGGGGAAUAUUGGACAAUGGGCGAAAGCCUGAUCCAGCCAUGCCGCGUGUGUGAAGAAGGUCUUCGGAUUGUAAAGCACUUUAAGUUGGGAGGAAGGGUAGGUAACCUAAUACGUUGCUAC
rnacentral:rRNA from 1 species